UGGGAUGAGUUGAUCGAGUGUGUGGCGCUACACACCCCCUCGCUUGAGAGUGACACCAUCUCAUCCUGGCAUCUCAAGUCGAGUGGACAAUUCUCCUCUAGGUCCUUAUAGAAGGCCAUUGCGGCCACGCCGGGCCCGGAGGAACUUAAUCUCCUUUGGGAGAUAAAAGUGCCGAUGAAGAUCAAAAUCUUCCUAUGGCAAUUGGUUCGAGGUCAAUUACCCUCGAGUACCGAGGUUCGAAAGGGAAGUGGCCCCAGCGAUGGAAACUGCGCACUAUGUGUUGUCCCAGAAGACUCGAACCAUAUCUUUUUCAGAUGUCCGGCAGCAAUCUUUUUGUGGAGCACCCUACGGGAGGGGAUUGGUGGCGUGUGCUUCCAUGACAACCUCCCAGAUAUGUUCCUGGAAGUGCAUAACAUGUCGCCUAGUCAACGACCCAUAAUGUGGGUGGUAGUUAGCACCUAG
rnacentral:rRNA from 1 species